rnacentral:snRNA from 1 species
AGCUUUGCACAGCGGCAGUAUUGUAGCCCAUGAGGUUUAUCCAAGGUAUGAUUAUUGCUGCUAAUCGAAAACUUUUCCCAAUACCUCACAGUGAUGACUUGCAAUAUAGUCGGCACUGGCAAUUUUUGACAGUCUCUAUGGAGA